rnacentral:rRNA from 1 species
CGGGGGGGGCAAGCGUUGUUCGGAAUUACUGGGCGUAAAGGGCUCGUAGGCGGCCAACUAAGUCCGACGUGAAAUCCCCAGGCUCAACUUGGGAACUGCGUCGGAUACUGGAUGGCUUGAAUUCGGGAGAGGGAUGCAGAAUUCCAGGUGUAGCGGUGAAAUGCGUAGAUAUCUGGAGGAAUACCGGUGGCGAAGGCGGCAUCCUGGACCGACAUUGACGCUGAGGAGCGAAAGCUAGGGGAGCAAACGGGAUUAGAUACCCCGGUAGUCCUAGCCCUAAACGAUGAAUGCUUGGUGUGGCGGGUAUCGAUCCCUGCCGUGCCGAAGCUAACGCAUUAAGCAUUCCGCCUGGGGAGUACGGUCGCAAGGCUG